rnacentral:rRNA from 1 species
AUGAAUCAAAACAACCAAAAUCAAAAGAGAUAUAAAAUUCCCAACCUUGUCGACGUGAUCUCACCAGUGGAAGUGAGACUCAAAUUGGUUCCUGACGACAUUGUAGAUCAGCGCCGGGUAGAACAACAUCGAUCGCUGUGCGCUUCGCACCGAAAGCCAUCUGCACCCUCUUCCUCCUCCGCCGCUGAAACAAAACCGACAUCCUUGCCACACAACUUCAGCUGCCAAUUGUCGACGCCGUCAUCCUCCCGACCCAGCUGUAGCUCCCCUUCCCAUCGACCACCACACCUCCACCUCCGCCACCCGAAUCACCGGGAAGCAGCAGGAGGGCCGGCGAGGGGAGGCUAUGGCGUCGCAGGUCGACGAUGA